UUAUCAGCAGGCCUACACAUGCAAGUCGCCGCACUCCAGUGAGAAUGCCCUCCAGGUCAACCAAGACCAAAAGGCGCAGGCAUCAAGCACACUUUUAUAAGCAGCUCAUAACGCCUUGCUCAGCCACACCCCCACGGGUAACAGCAGUGAUAAACAUUAAGCAAUGAACGAAAGUUUGACUCAGCCAUGCUAAUCUGUAGCUCAAGGGUUGGUAAAUUUCGUGCCAGCCACCGCGGUCAUACGAUUAACCCAUAUUAAUAAUACCCGGCGUAAAGAGUGUUUUAGACAAUAAUUCAAUAAGGUUAAGCACUAACUAAGCUGUAAAAAGCCCCAGUUAGAAUAAAAAUAGGCAGCGAAAGCAACCUUAGACUUCUGAAAACACGACAGUUAAGACCCAAACUGGGAUUAGAUACCCCACUAUGCUUAACCGUAAACCUAAAUAAUCAACUAACAAAAUUAUUCGCCAGAGUACUACAAGCAACAGCUUAAAACUCAAAGGACUUGGCGGUGCUUUAUAUCCCCCUAGAGGAGCCUGUUCUGUAAUCGAUAAACCCCGAUAAACCUCACCCCUCCUUGCCAAUUCAACCUAUAUACCGCCAUCCUCAGCCAACCCUGCUAAGGUAACAAAGUAAGCAUAAGAACUAUAUGUUAAAACGUUAGGUCAAGGUGUAGUCUAUGGAGUGGAAAGAAAUGGGCUACAUUUUCUACCUACCACAGAACACAAACGCUAGCCCCAAUGAAACAACGGCGAAAGGCGGAUUUAGUAGUAAAUUGAGAAUAGAGAGCUCAAUUGAAUAGGGCAAUGAAGCACGCACACACGCCC
rnacentral:ncRNA from 1 species